UAGUCAAGAGGUCCAUGGAAAAGUGUAUUUCCUUUCAGGUAAUUUUGUUCGCGAGUUUAAUUUAUUUUCUGAAGUAACAUGAGCUAUAGCGGGACCUUUAAACGCUAGAAGAGAACAAUGAAAAAUAUAUUUCCUCAGGGAGAGAAGUAUGCCUUCCCAAGGGAUAGCAACGCAUGUAGCCUGUUUGGAUCAUAAGUGGAUGUCCAAGGCAUUGUUCAGGUGGUCGGGGAAUGGGAUUCCAGAGAUGGUCUUUUCCAGGGUUGACAGAGUGUGGUGUGACCGACCCUCCACCACCAUCUGCAGCCCAGCAGAGAUGGAGAGGUACUUUGCCUGUCCUCCGCUGCUCUCGAUGCCCAGGAAGCUCUGGCAGGUUUGGGGUACCUCUUCGAUCAGACUGGUUUGGUGCUGCAGGAUCACAAGGCUGCUAUUGAGGAACUGGAGACAGGUGAUCCUGAUGUCCAAGAGGAGGAUGAUGAGGGCUUUGUGGCGCUUGUGGAAGUUCAGGACCUGACAGUUCCAGUGGUGGAGACAGCCCUGCCUCUUGUUAGCACCUUUCGCCCUACUGUCACCCCCUCUACCAGCAUCCAGUCCACAGCUGCAUCAGUCAGUCCCCUGUCCUCCACUCCUGUACGGGCUACUCCACCACCAGCUGGUCCUCUGUUCAUGACCUCCACACCUGUGCCCGGCUGGGCCUCUGUUCAUGACCUCCACACCUGUGCCCGGCUGGGCCUCUGUUCAUGACCUCCACACCUGUGCCCGGCUGGGCCUCUGUUCAUGACCUCCACACCUGUGCCCGGCUGGGCCUCUGUUCAUGACCUCCACACCUGUGCCCGGCUGGGCCUCUGUUCAUGACCUCCACACCUGUGCCCGGCUGGGCCUCUGUUCAUGACCUCCACACCUGUGCCCGGCUGGGCCUCUGUUCAUGACCUCCACACCUGUGCCCGGCUGGGCCUCUGUUCAUGACCUCCACACCUGUGCCCGGCUGGGCCUCUGUUCAUGACCUCCACACCUGUGCCCGGCUGGGCCUCUAUUCAUGACCUCCACACCUGUGCCCGGCUGGGCCUCUGUUCAUGAUCUCCACACCCGUGCCCGGCUGGGCCUCUAUUCAUGACCUACACACCUGUGCCCGGCUGGGCCUCUGUUCAUGACCUCCACACCUGUGCCCGGCUGGGCCUCUGUUCAUGAUCUCCACACCUGUGCCCGGCUGGGCCUCUGUUCAUGACCUCCACACCUGUGCCCGGCUGGGCCUCUGUUCAUGACCUCCACACCUGUGCCCGGCUGGGCCUCUAUUCAUGACCUCCACACCUGUGCCCGGCUGGGCCUCUAUUCAUGACCUCCACACCUGUGCCCGGCUGGGCCUCUAUUCAUGACCUCCACACCUGUGCCCGGCUGGGCCUCUAUUCAUGACCUCCACACCUGUGCCCGGCUGGGCCUCUGUUCAUGAUCUCCACACCCGUGCCCGGCUGGGCCUCUAUUCAUGACCUCCACACCUGUGCCCGGCUGGGCCUCUAUUCAUGACCUCCACACCUGUGCCCGGCUGGGCCUCUAUUCAUGACCUCCACACCCGUGCCCGGCUGACACUCAGUCAGCUCCGUCUUCUGUUCCUUACGGGCUGGGCAUUCUGAUGGAGCAGGGAUCAAUCGUUCUUCAUUAUCAGUUAAUUAUAUAUAAUUGUAAUUAUUUGUGUUCAAUUGUUUGUCCCUCUGUGGUUUCAAAAGUAUUGUCCCCUAAAAUCACUCUGGGCACAAAAGCCCUUAGCUGAAUUCUCUAAUUACAUUUUGAUCAAUUAUUAAUGUCAGUCUUUCAAUGCUCCAUUGUAUAAACUAUGUAAUGUUCCUGCUUGUGUGCCUUGUGCACUGAUUUAAAACAAUUAGAGUAUAUUUGUCAUUCUCACGUCUUCCUCCAAUUCUGUGUCUUCAAUUACUUCCUUGAUUUACAAUGAAAACAAUUUCGUCAACAUUAGGUUUUCGAUGUGAACUUGAUAAAGCAUAAACACCACAGGAGUUCCAUGUUGUUGAACACAUUUCGCCUCCCCUUCUAUAAAUGUGAAUCCUGAAGAGGGCGAGGGGUUUGACAGAAAGAGACAGUUUUUCCAUAAUAAAACAUUAUGGAGGAGGAUGGUAACAGAUUCCCAGGCUGAGAGGAACGACGAUGAAGCCUGAUGCUUUUCUACUCUCAGAUUGUCACGGUAAGGACAAGAAAGCAUUAAAAACCAUUCAAGGCUAAAAUACAGCAGCCGUGUUGGGAUUCGAUACGGGGUCGGCAUCGGCGAGUAUGUUCAUUCUUGGUAGAAAAUGACCCCCGAAUUCGCUACACUCUUUAAUUCCUGAUGUCACAACCUCAGCCGGUGAGCUAUAUCCUUGGCUCAGUUGGUAGAGAAUGGAGUUUCCAACACCAGGGUUGUGAGUUCAAUUCCCAUGGGGGGCCAGUAUGGGAGAAAGAAAAUGAAUGUACUCAUUACUGUAAAUCACUCUGGAUAAGAGCAUCUGCUAAAUGACUAACUGACUGUCUUUACAUGAGACUGAGCUAAACGCCUAGCUCUGAGUACUAACACAAGUCUUCAGGUAACAAGCAAAGUUACUCAGCAUGUGCAUAGUGACCGUCUCCCUCCCUUAUGCAUACAGACAGGCCUCGUUCACCAUUAAUAAUAAUACACUGGAUCUAUAUAGCACUUUUCUACCAACUGAGGUACUCAAAGCAGUUAGUAAGAAGGUAAACUGACCUCAUCCACCACCCACCUGGGUGAUGCUCUGCAACAGUUGUGUGCUAGAACACUCACCACACGUCAGCUGGAAAGAUUAGUGAUUUAUGCCAAAAAGGAAUGAGAGGGAUGAUUAGGUGGCCAUGAUGGAAUGGGGCCAGGUUGGGAAUUUAUACAUGACAUCAGAGUUAACACUCCUACUCUAAUGAUAAGUGCCAUGGGAUUUUUAAUGACCACAGAGAGCCAGGACACCUGUUUAACAUCCCAUCCGAAACCAGGUGUUAUCUGGUUGAUCUACUUACCAUGGCUCUGCUACUGGUCCUGUAGGGUUUCAGUUACCAUGACAACCUGAGCCGUGCUCUGUAGACUAGUACAGUUUCCUUGGUGUUGUUUCAACAGAGACAGUAGUACAGACAUUUCACAUAGAUUUUGCUGUCCCAUGUCAUCCCUGUCUCCGGUCAUCCCUGUCCCCUGGCAGAUACACUGUCCCCUGUCAUCCCUGUCCCCUGGCAGAUACACUGUCCCCUGUCAUCCCUGUCCUCUGGCAGUUACACUGUCCCUGUCCCCUGUCAUCCCUGUCCCCUGGUAGUUACACU